ACGUCUCGGUGGAGGUAGAUCCCCUCACCUGGUUCUCAUAGUCUAUUCCAUCGAGGGUCACAUCCAUGCAUGCCCAGCUCAGAACCUGAACGUGGACGUUUACCGUAGCUUCAUUCAUAAUUGCCAAUGCUUGGAAGCAACAAGAUGUCUUUUGAUAGGUGAGUGGUUAGCCCCUCCUCGGGGCUCUUGUACUGGGGCGGCUCCGGGGUCCCCGAGGGCCUCAGCGUCUGCCUGCAGCGGCCUCCUGCGGAAAAUAGCCCGAGGCCGGGGAGGAGGGGGUCAACCCCAAUCACGGAUCCCAGCCUCCGCGCCUUGGGGAACGUGGGGCCAGAUUUGGUUCCUGACUCAGGGACCCACGGAGGCUGAAGGAGACCCAGAGGGCCCUGAGCACCUCAAAGGGCGCGGAGGGCGGGACGACCCUUUCCCUGGGGUGGGGCAGGAGUGGUCUGGAUUUGGAAGCAGACGGGGGAGGGAAGAGGCUUCAAAGCGGAGGAGGAGGGAGAGGGAGGAGGCGGAGUAGGGACCCUGGGGCGCAGGUGAGGUUUGGACAACCUGAGAUGGAACAGGAGCCGGCCAGGCAGAUCCAGGAAGGAGCAUAGUUAAGGGCAAAUGAGGUUGGCGGGGAUGGUUAGGCCACAGGCACAUAAUCUUCGUUCUUUCUAGAGUGCUUGGAGCGCUUUCCCCUGGCAGGGGUGGCCUGGGAGGAGGGGAGAAGGGAGGAGAAGGGCAGGCGCCUCCAGGGGCCCCUCAGGCUGGCUCAGUUGCCCAGAGGAAAGCAGGGCGUGCUCCCAUAGCCUUACAGGAGCCUGGAGCUGCCGCAGGGGUUGGGAGCUGCAGCUCCAGGACUCCUGCCAAAUUUCUGGGACCUGCAGGGGGCUGAGUCCCGGCCUUUGAAGACUGGUGCCCUGGAAAAACGGCUCCUGUGCAGGCUGCCUCCCAGCUCUGUCCUCCCACACUUCGUCCUCCCACAGGUGAGGCUGGGGCCCAGCCGGGUCUGUCGAGUGCUAAAGCGUCCCUGGGCCCGUUGGAGGCUGUGGUUCCAAUUUCUUUUGCAGCAUCUGCUCGGCCCCAUGUAGGUCCUGGAUGCAGAGUGUGAGGCCGCCCCCGUCAUAGCAUAGACCUGCGCCCUCCUCACUAGACUCAUCUGCCUCCUACACUGAGUCUUCCCUUGGUCCUAUUCUUUAUUCUGUUUUUUCCCCGGGAGCCAAGGGAGUUGACCCGUGUUCUCACUGGGCCGCUGGAACCCAACAGCAUGGACAUCCCGGUUGGUGGGCACCCAGCUCUCCCCUCCGGAGGUACUGUCACACCCUCUCCCGCCUCACCGGGGGCACAGGGCCCUGCCAGACCCAGGUGAUGUCAGGAAAUGCUGUCCUCAGUCUGGAGGACCACCGAGCCACUUUCCUCCUCGGAGCCCUUCCCUCCAGCCCAGGUGGUCACACAGCUUUCACCCCGUGUCAGGUUUGCUCUUUUCUGCUUCCUGCCUUCAUUUCCUGAAUGACAUCCUUUUGAGCAUGUAUGAUGACAAGCAGGGCUGGACCCUGGGUCUGCAGCAGUGAACCGGCCCAGUCACCUGCCCUCAGGGGUCUUGCAGGAGGUAGGUCUCGGAAAG
rnacentral:lncRNA from 1 species